UACAGCCAUAUGACGGUGAAACAGCGGUUCUCGCCGAAUAACCGAAAUUAAACAACGUUGAGCCUAGUAAGUACCUGGAUGGGUGACUGCUUGCGAAUACUAGGUGCUGUAAG